rnacentral:rRNA from 1 species
UAGGGAAUCUUCGGUAAUGGACGAAAGUCUGACCGAGCAACGCCGCGUGAGUGAAGAAGGUUUUCGGAUCGUAAAACUCUGUUGUUAGAGAAGAACAAGGACGUUAGUAACUGAACGUCCCCUGACGGUAUCUAACCAGAAAGCCACGGCUAACUACGUGCCAGCAGCCGCGGUAAUACGUAGGUGGCAAGCGUUGUCCGGAUUUAUUGGGCGUCAAGCGAGCGCAGGCGGUUUCUUAAGUCUGAUGUGAAAGCCCCCGGCUCAAGCGGGGAGGGUCAUUGGAAACAAGGAGACUUGAGUGCAGAAGAGGAGAGUGGAAUUCCAUGUGUAGCGGUAAAAUGCGUAGAUAUAUGGAGGAACACCAGUGGCGAAGGCGGCUCUCUGGUCUGUAACUGACGCUGAGGCUCGAAAGCGUGGGGAGCAAACAGG